rnacentral:rRNA from 1 species
GACGAACGCUGGCGGCGUGCUUAACACAUGCAAGUCGAACGGGAUUUAGUAAACAGAAGCCUCGGUGGAAGAUUACUAAUGAGAGUGGCGAACGGGUGAGUAACGCGUGAGCAACCUGCCUAUGACAGUGGGAUAGCCUCGGGAAACCGGGAUUAAUACCGCAUAAAAUCGUAGAAACACAUGUUUUAACGGUCAAAGAUUUAUCGGUCAUAGAUGGGCUCGCGUCUGAUUAGCUAGUUGGUGAGAUAACAGCCCACCAAGGCGACGAUCAGUAGCCGGUCUGGGAGGAUGAACGGCCACAUUGGAACUGAGACACGGUCCAAACUCCUACGGGAGGCAGCAGUGGGGAAUAUUGCACAAUGGGGGAAACCCUGAUGCAGCGACGCCGCGUGAACGAAGAAGGUAUUCGUAUCGUAAAGUUCUGUCCUAUGGGAAGAUAAUGACAGUACCAUAGAAGAAAGCUCCGGCUAAAUACGUG